rnacentral:misc_RNA from 1 species
GUUCGAUUCUGGCUCAGAUUGAACGCUGGCAGGAUACUUUACACAUACAAGUCGAACGGCAGCACGGACUUCGGUCUGGUGGCGAGUGGCGAACGGGUGAGUAAUGUAUCGGAACGUGCCUAGUAGCGGGGGAUAACACGCGAAAGCGUAGCUAUUACCACAUACGCCCUUCGGGGGAAAGCGGGGACCUUCGGGCCUCGCACUAUUAGAGC